ACAACGUGUCCGCUUAGGCGGCGAUAUGCGCCGCCAUCUUCUUUGCGGGCAAAGGCCGAAAAAAGUUUGGGACUCCACUCCCCCCCGCUGAGCCGAUGGAGGGCAUCGCCCGCUGCCUCAGCACUCUGGUGACGUGGAAUCGGGGUCCCCUCUUUCAGGGCUGAUUUCUGGUAGCACGCUGACGCCUGCCAAGGCAGGGAAAGGGGACGCCGCCUCUGUCCCGGAUGUAAGAUGGCGGCGCGGGGGGCGGCCUGGCGGGGCGGUCACGUGGUGAGGAGUAGCGCGCGAGCCUCCUUAAGUGAUCUCUAAGGUUCGUCCGGACGCACAGGAGCAGCGGAGCGCGAGACGGGUCUUGUGUCCGCACGCGUCGAGUCGUCGCAGUCGCCACCCGGGCCAUCGCCGGGCCCGGUUUCACUGUUAAGGGGUUUUCGUUUGUUCCGUUUUCGCCUCCUGUAGAGCUGAACGGGAAUUCCCCGAAGGGUGCUGGGGAACGGGUGGCCUGGGGACUUCCCGGCUAUGCCUUGGCUGCUGUUUGGCGGAGCCGGCGGCAGCCUCUGCGGGAUGCCCGCCGGCGAUUAUCGGCGCCGAGAGCGGGCCGGCGGCGGGUUCGACAGCGCGGCGCGGGUGGGGGCCCGGGUACCGGACUCGGCCGCAGCCCAGCCCCCACCGGGGACUCGGAGCAGGGAGGGGCGCGAGCGGCGCAGCUCGGGACGUGGCGGCAGCUCCUAGCGGGCGAAGCGCGGGAGCGCUGCUCGCUGCCUCUCGGGGGCAGUCCAGAACCAGUUGGUGUCUGACUGCGCUUUUGCCGCCCAUUUCCUGCUUUCGAGCGGCUGAGGCGACGCGCUCCCCUCGGGCAGUGGAGGGAGCGGCUCUCUCCGCAGGACACCGCCGCUUUUCUCUCUUCAGAGCGGUGGCUGACGUACAGAACGCCGGCUGUAUCACCCGGGCGCCGGCGCCGCCUCUCAUCCCCGUAGCUCUCGGGGCGCGCCGGGAGUAGCCGAGCCGCUGGGUGCUGGGCGGGGUCUCCGGGCGCGGCGCGGGGGGAAGGCAAAGGAAAAGAAGGGGCGGCGGGCCGACGUCGGCGGCGAGGAAGGACGGAGGAGCGCCGGAGCCGCUUUGCUGCCCUCCGCGUGGUCCCGUGCCUCCCCGACACCAUGGCCCUGGCUGAGGUAGUAGUUUGUGCUGUUGGUCGGGUUGUGACAUUGCCCGCUGUGGAGAUAACUGCGCAAGCUACUGCCUUGCUAGUGCUGGUGAUGCUCAGCGCCGCGGAGGACAAUGGCUGGGAAUCCCCUUUGUUUUCCGGGGCGCUGCCUGGGGACAGCCCGCGAAGCCUCGGCGCCCGGCCGGCGCGGCCACCACGGAAACCGUUAGUUUCACAUUUUCCUAGAAGGAAUUGAGGGGAGUGGGGUGGACCGCGAUGCAUUUUAAAGGUUGGGAAAGAGCUAAGCCAUUGGAUUCCUUUUCUUGAAGGAAGGAGUGGAAUUGUGUAAGAUAAUUGAUACAGAUAACUUUUUCACCCUAAAAAAUUCUAACACUUCUUUCAGCAGUUAAAUGCCAAAUUUAGUGUGUACCUGUUUUACUUCAUUCUUUAGCUGUAGGUUGGAGUGGUGUGAGCGAUCUGCAGAACUGGCAUUAGAGGGGCAGAAGAAGUAGACCUGAUAAUUAAAGUUUAUGCCUUAACAUUUUAGAUCUGGUUUCUGAUAUGCUCUCUUAGUAAAUCUGAGUGUGUCUUUAAAAACGUAAACCCAAAGCAAUUUAAAGUUUCUCUUUAAACUUUGCAACUCGCGAAUGAGAAGAUUGAAAUUAUUUGUAGGUAAUUGCACUAUUCCGAUUUUUUAAUGUAUGAGGCAAACAAAUAAAUUCUAUGUACAGUGUGCUGUGAAUGGUUUUGUUUUUUGUUUUUUCUUUUUAGUUUAACCUUGGGGCUCAGAUUCUGCUGGUGUGGUGGGUUGGUUUUUUGGUUUUUAUGGCCUUUGAUUCUAAUGUUAUGUGGUACUUACAUCUUUGAGGUUUUGUAUGGGAGAAGAGGACUAGGAAUUGAAAGUGGUUUCUAGAUUUGAGUUUAAAAUCUACUAACACUCAUUUUGAUUCCUGAGUGGCCACUACUCCUAAUAGGAAAAUACCUUUGCAUAGAGAAAAAAGGUAGUUUGGAUAACUAAUGAAAAUACUCAGUGCUCUAAUACCCUGAAGUCUGCGUGGAAAACAAGAUACUUGUAUUUUUAUUUUAUUUUCACUGAGGGAAGUAAGUGGUCAGUUUUAGUACUUUUCGUUGAAAACUGAUCUGUAUUUGUACAGAAUAAGUAGUUUUGAAUAUAAUGUAAUCGCAGUUUUCUAUGGUUUUCUGAUGCUCAGUUGAAAAACAAAUAAGGCAGUUCUUUAAACCAACCAAACCCUUCAGCAGGAGUUUGAUGCUUUUAUCAUUCAAAAGUGAUCUAAUAUAUGUGCCUUGAUUGGGUUUGGUUUAGCCUUGAGAAUAACCUUACUUAAUCUGAUCUCAUCAGGAUGGAGCCGCCUCAUUGUGGGAAGGGCGGUGAAGAACCUUAUCUUGAAUCUUAAGAUGCAGAAAAUGCUUGAAUGUUGGCUCUUGAAGUUUGCUUUUCUUGAUAGCAACGCAGAGUAAAUUCAGGGCUUUGUUAAGUGCUUGUUUUCUUAAAUAAUGAAAACCUCUGCGGUGCUGUGUCAAAUCUUGGUUUAUGGAGAAACUAAUCAUAACAUGCUAAUUUCAUUAUGAUUUUAUUUUCCAAAACACUUCAUUCAACCAACCGAGGUAAUCUUCCAACCCACUACACUCUAACAUUUUUAUGGAGAAUCAACGGUUGUUAAUCUGCACCCCAAAGUAUAACAAAUUCUGCUGGUAAUUUAAACUUUAAGCGGAUAAGCACACCAGAAAUGCUCAAUGUCCUAUACAGAUAAACUAUUCAUACUUUAUAUCUUGUGUUUUUAAAGUAAAUUUUAUCCACAACUACAUAUUGCCCAAAUAGUAGUAACAUUUUUGAGUUAUUGGAUGUAAAGGUACUUUGAGAGGUUAACUGUUUCCUAAGUUACAAGAGAAAAUACUGCCACCAGCUGACUUGUUUUAAUCCCAUAGCUAUAUUUCUGCUCUAAUCUCCAGUUUUAAAAAUGAUCUGCUAAUUACAUUUCUCUACACACCAACUGAAAAUUACCAACUGAACAUUUUCCUUGUUGACAGUUUCCCACAAGAUGAAUUUGAUUUAUCAAAAAUACAGCUUUCUGAACUUAGUAUUAUUGACAUUUACUUGGUGCAGUUAACUUUUUUGUUAAAGGUCUGUUGUCAAGCAUUUAAGUAAUUUGUAGUUGUAAAAAGCCACUGGUGGAAAGUAAUAAGGCAGUAUUUUGAGUGCCCUUCUCAAUAAGUACAUACUAAACCAAAGGAAAGCUGGGUUAUGGUAAUAACAUUUUAAUAAAUGUCAUCCUCAAUUGGAAAUGGAGACUGUGUUAUGGUAUAUAGGACACACCAUAUGGAGAAGAUUCUUGGAGAACACAGUUUUGCUUCAUACUUUAAAAUUCCUGAUUGCUAAUCUUACAUAGAAAAGCUUUGUUUACAAGCUAUUUUAAAAUAACCUUUUGGCAGGUAGGCAAGACUGACUGGCAAGGGUGCACUCAAGACAUUGUGUCUUGUGGAGUGGUCCCCAAAGAAUUCCUGACAGAGGCACCUGACAGCACAAAUUAGCUCUUCAGUGUAUAAGCACAAAGCACCAAAAAGGCUGAGAUUUCUUCCUAGCUACAUGCUCUCUCCCGCUAUUGUUUAUUACACUCCACCCGCUCCAUGGUGAAGCUGACAAAGGAGAUACUAUUAAUUUCCUUUCCCACUGAAUAAUCCCCUCUGUAAUUUCUACAACAAAAGGUAAAUAGGACAAUCAUCUUCGAAAAUGAAUUAGGCCAGAUUGGUAGUACCCAAAAGGAGAAUUAAUGACCAUUGUCAUAAACUCUGAAAAGCUGUUGGCGCUACUGAUAAUCUAGAUAAUUAAGCAAAAAUUUGAAAAUUAUUUCUAAGAUUGUCUAAUGAAGUUCACUAAGUGUUUUUGUUAGGUUAUCACUAUUGGGCACCAUGGGGAAAGCAAAAUAAUUGUAUAGCUAGGUCAUUGCCCCAAAGGAAAACAGGAAAGAUGUCACAUGAAGUGUUUAAGAAUCAAAAUGUAAUUAGCUGAGUGUGGUGGUGCCUGCCUGUAGUCCCCGCUGAGGUGGGAGGAUCUCAUGAGCCCAGGACUUUGAGGCUGCAGUGAGCCAUGAUUGCACCACUGCAGCCUGGGCAACAGAGUGAGACUGUCAAAAAAAAAAAAAAAUCAAUGUGAGCUCAGUGCAGUGAUGUGCACCUAUAAUCCCAGGUACUCUGGAGGCUGAGGCAGGAGAGUCACUGGAGCCCAGUAGUUUGAGACCUGCCUGGACAAAAUAGUUGAGAUUCUGUCUCAAGAAAUUAAAUAAAUAAUCAAAAUGUGGGCAGGUGAGAAAAACAUUAGUGACCUACUUCACUUUUGAGACCUGGCAGAAAAGUGAUUGAAUGAGCUAAGGGGGAAGGGAAGUAUGGAACACUUCAAAUAGUAUAGUAAUUUAGGGAGUUCUUUUGGUUAGGUUUGUUGCCUGAGAUCUUGGAGAUGACAAUCGCAGUGAUAAUGAUACUCUAGGUGAUUUACAGUUUAGUUUCAUAUUAUCUGCUACAAAUACGCUGGGAGUGUCAUCAGAAUUAAAAGAAAUAUUAGCAGUUCUACAUGGAAUUUAUGUGUUUUCUUAUCUCAAGUUGAAAAUUUUUUUUUUGGUUAAAUUUGUUUUACAUUUACCUUUCUUUAAAAGUGCUGUUUUGUUCAGAUGUAAUGGAAUUGUGCCUACACAGGAUUUUUGGCCACUAAAUUUGUGAAUAGGGUCCUUUAAAGGCAUACUAUUGACACCCGAUAGUGUAACUUUAGUCUUUUAGUUAUAUCAAAUAUGAACAAACCUAAGACACAAUCUUGUGUUUUUAAGGAUAAGUUCCUAGUUCUUUCCUCUUAUUCAACAUCAAACAACACUUACAGAAAAUAUUAUUUUCUUCGAAUCAGGUUUACAAAUUCCGUUAGUUCCAUUAUAAUAUAAUUGAGAGUAUUUUAUCAUGGAAGUCAGGAGUUCGCAGAAAGCCAAGCUGUGUGAUAUGUCACAGAAAAUUCAAGUAAAUUAAGGACUAAAAACUGUCCACAGACAUUGACAGUUUAGAUCAUAUAUGUAGUUGUAAUGUGUUUUCUGUUAUACCUGAAAAAUCCCUUAACUGCUCUUAGGUUGAGUAAUAAACAAUUAACGGGUGUUUUAUCUCACUUUGAACAUAACUACCAAAAAGGUAUUAAGAUUCAGAGAUUGCUGUUUUAAUAUUCUGCACAUAGUGUAUUUUAAAGCCCUUGUUAAACAGAAGUAUUAUGUAGAUACAGGCAUGGGCUAGUUUUAGUCAUAAUAGUAACACUGACUUAAUGUUACCGUAAUAGAUGGCCGAAAGAGUUGACUAAACUCUAAAAACAGAUACAUAAGCAAAUUAAAGUAUAUUUUUCUGUUUUAAAAACAAAUUUACAUACUUUUUAAGAGUUCGGACGAAAAACCUAAGAAUAAGAAUCCUAUCUGCCAUUCAUUUCUUUUUGUAGUGAAUGAAGCUUAUACAGAAUAAAUAAGUUCCAGAUAAAUUCAACAGGUGAAUCGGAUACCUGCUCUAUGUCAGGUGCUGGGAAUAUACAGAAGAUAAAACAAAAACAAACACAAAAAAACCAACUCCACAUUAUGGAAUUCACAUUGUAAAAGGAAUACAUUUCCCUAUAAUAAUAAUUACAGACAUGUAGUGAGGACAAUCCAUGGGCCACCUGAGUUGUUUUCAAACCUGAGUUCCACUCAUACACCUGUUCUAGAGCCCUUGCUCCAAAACCACUAUUGAUAUUCCAGUUGUAUGUUUUAAAAAAGCCAUUUCCCAUUGAUUUUUGUUAUAAUUGUACCUAUUUUUUUUAAAAAAAGAUGAUAAUUUAGUUUCACCAGGGCUGUUUUCUUUCUUUCUUUUUUUUUUUUUGAGACGGAAUCUUGCUCUUGUUGCCCAGGCUGGAGUACAAUGGCACGAUCUCGGCUCACUGCAACCUCCACCUCCCAGGUUCAAGCAAUUCUCCUGCCUCAGCCUCCUAAGUAGCUGGGAUUACAGGCGCCCGCCACCACGCCCAGCUAAUGUUUGUAUUUUUAGUAGAGAUGAGGUUUCACCGUGUUGGCCAGGCUGGUCUCGAACUGCUGACCUCAUGAUCCGCCCACCUUGGCCUCCCAAAGUGCUGGUAUUACAGGCAAGAGCCACCGCGCCUGGUCAGCCAGGGCUGUUUUCUAUCUCCUAAACAGGAUAACACUGCAGGAGGUACUUCACCUUUAAGAGCUUACAAUGUUGUAGCAAGUGCCCAACUACCUUGUGGAGGAAUCUAGACCCCAUAGCCAGACAUCACAUUUUAUGAUGUACACUCUAAACAUGGUAAAAGUUCAAAGAAGCAGGAGUGCACUGUGAGUAGGUAGAGAAUGCAUCUCUCUGGAGCAGAAACGUCAGAUUAUUUUAACAGUAUAAGCUAUGGAGAGCGAUUAUGAGCCUUGUGGUGCCUGAGAACAGGAAAGAAAGAAGUAUCCUACCUUCCUUAUAUAAUUUAUACCUCGGGGUAACUAAAUGGUUGUGAGGGAGAUUUCCUCAUUACAGAAUAAUUCCAGUUUCACAGUGCAGAACGUCUGAUAGAAUGUUAACAUUUACAACAGCUCAUGAAAUAAAGCUAGACCUCUUCAAUGGCUAACUUAAUGGUUGAAACCAUUAAGUAAAAUGCUGAUGGAGAAGUAUGUGAUUAAUGAAUCAGUAGUAGAGAAGUAUUUAAUUCAUGGAUCAGGGCAACCGCACUUCAACUCACUGAUCAAUUUUAAUAUUACAAAAACAGAUAACUAGAUAUUCUAGUUCAAAUAAUUGAACUAGAUAGUGGUUUACUAAGACUCUAGACUCUCAUCAAGUUUCUAGAUCUGAUGAGUAGUUUAUUAGAAAUUUAAGAUAUAGGGGAACAUUGUUAAAUCACCACAGGAGCACAAGUAGCAAAAAUCCACACUGAAAUUCUAUAAGACAAAUGAUCUAAGGAAAAAAAAUUUUUAAGGAAAGAAGGGCAGGAAAACCUGUAGAGUAAAAUGAAUUUAAAGAUAUUUAUCGGUUUAAUUGCAAUGUAUAGACCUUGUUUGGAUCCUAAUUUGAUCAAAGCUAACCACAAACACAUUUAUGAGACAAUUGGAGAAAUUUUAAAACUGACUGAAUAUUAGAAGUUAAAGAAUUGUUUUUGAAAAUGGUAUUGUGGUUAUAGUUUUUAAAAAUCUUUUGGUAUAUGCAUACUAAAUAAUUUACUAAUGAAUGAUAUGAUCGGACUUUGCUUCAUACUUUAAUCCAUGGGGGAUGGGAAGCAUAUAUGGGAGUACACAGGAAAGAAGCUUGUCUUAGUGUUGGUAUUGAUGAUGGGUGAUGGGUAGAUGGGUUUUUUUAUUCUGUUCUACUUUUGUGUAUAUUUAGAAUGUUCCAUAAUAAAAACUCAAAAACACGUAAAACAAGACAAAGAAAGAUUCCUGUGGUUUGGAGACAACCAAAGCAAAGUGAGAACACAUACAAAACCAUGUGAAGGUCAGUAAGGUGCAGCUAAGUGUUCUUAGGGUAUCCUCCCAGGCCACUUUGAAAUACUACCUUGAAGUCUAUCAGAGGAUCAGUCCAUUUUCCUUAUACUCCAGAUCAAAUAUAUUGACUAAUAUAGUGCAAGUUCACACAUACCCACAACAAGGAUACCAUUGUUUAAAUAUAUCUAUUAUAAUUAAAACUAGUAAUUAGAAUUAAUAAGAGAUGUGUUGAGAACUUUUACUAAGUACUUUGUAUGUAUAAAGUACUUGCUUUAAUGUUAGCCUAUUAAACUUAAUAACUUUCCAUUUUAAAUAUUAUUUUUCUAGUUCCAUAGUCUUUUUCUAGAAGUAUGCCUUAUUUCACAUUCUUAAACAAGUACUCUAAGCAAAAUCAGCUCACUAAAAAAAUUUGUUUGGCUUUAACUGCUUUCAAUAAGCUUAGUUCUGUUUUUCCUCUUUUAUUUUGUUAUUCCUCCUGUCUAACUGAAACUUUGUACCCUUUAGCCAACAUCUCCCCAGUACCUUACCCCCUCUGUCUAUAAGCCCCUGGUAACACUAUUCUCUCCUUUCUGCUUCUCUGAGUUUGACUUUUUUAUAUUCCACAUAUAAAUGAGAUCAUGUAGUAUUUGUCUUUCUAUGCCUGGCUUAUUUAGUGUAAUGUCCUCCAAGUUUAAACAUGUCGUUGCAAAUGAUAGAAUGUUUGUCCUUUUAAAUGGAACUCUAAUAAUUGUUCUAGCAAUUUAUUCGAUUUUUUGUUUCCAGUUAGAUUCCUUUUUUCUUAACCUUCUUUGUGUGUGUGUGUGUGUGUGUGUGUGUGUGUGUGUGUGUUUAGACAGGGUCUCACUGUCAUCCAGGCUGGAGUGCAGUGGCGUGGUCACAGCUCACUGCAACCUUCAACUCCCAGGCUCAAGCGAUCUUUCCACCUCAGCCUCCUGAGUAGCUAAGACUACAGGCACACGCCACCACCCCUGGCUAAUUUUUGUAUUUUUUGUAGAGACAGGGUUUUGCCAUGUUGCCCAGGCUGGUCUCAAAACUACAGGGCUCAAUUGAUCGCCCACCUCCGUCUCCCAAAGUGCUGGGAUUAUAGGUGUGAGCCACCGCGCCCAGCCCCCAUCAAUAUAUGUUAACACUUAGCAGUUAGUUCAUUGUGCAUCUACAUAUUACCAGUGUUAUUAAUCUAAUUUAAAUAUUUAACUGAGUGCUGUUACUGCUUUGAAUAUAUUAGCACACUACAAAGGUAAAAAAAUAUAACCAACCUGUGGAUCAAAAGAAACAAUGAUUUUGCAUUUUACUAAGCACAGAAAUUAUCAUGUUUUUGAAUGUGUACCACAAAUGCCAGGCAUACACACACAUAUAUAAAUAAGGUUGAAGGAGGCCGGGCGCGGUGGCUCACGCCUGUAAUCCCAGCACUUUGAGAGGCCGAGGCAGGUGGAUUACUUGAGGUCAGGAAUUCGAGAGCAGCCUGGCCAACAUGGUGAAACCUGGUCUCUACUAAAAAUACAAAAAAUUAGCCGGGCAUGAUGGUGCAUGCCUGUAGUCCCAGCUACUGGGGAGGCUGAGGCAGGAGAAUCGCUUAAACCCCAGAGGUGGAGGUUGCAGUGAGCUGAGAUCGUGCCACUGCACUUCAGCCUGGGUGACAGAGUGAGACUCUAUCUAAAAUAUAUAUAUAUAUAAGGUUGAAGGAAUAAACACAUUGAAGCAUUAUUACAAAUAUAAGAUACUUUUUUUUCUUUUCUUGUUUAAAAAUAAAUAGAGGCAGGGUCUCACUUUGUUGCCCACGCUGGUCUUGAGCUCCUGGGCUCAAGUGAUCCUCCUGCCUCAGCCUCCUAAAGUGCUAGGAUUACAGGCGUUAGCCACCACACUUGGCCAAGAGAGUUCUUUCAAAUUUACCAAUAUUAUCACUAUUAAAUAGCUUUUAUUUUGAAGUAUAUAUCCUAGUGACUUUUUAACUUCAUAUAUCUUAUCCUGUAUAUACGUAGUGAAUCACUAUCUGGACUCAUUAGUUAGACGUUGAACUUAGCCGUGACCUUAUCUACUACAUACAUGGGCAUUUUCUGUUGUUAUUAACCCUGGGACUUAAGUUGCCUUAGAAAUAUUAAUGAUAAUUGCUAUAUGUAUAGAUGUUACCACUAAUAUCUUUAGUAUUCUCUGCUGACUAUCCAUGAACCCUGUGGAGUUUAUUAUGCUGGAAGUCACAGUGUAUUCCUUAAACCCUUCUGAUUCUGCCUUAUGGCCUCCUCCCUUGUUGAGUAUCUUCUUAAAAGGAAUCAGAAACCACUCUUCCCACAUUCUCCAAUAGUCAAGUCACACCAUGAACACGGUUCCAAGAAGCGGAAAGGUCCUCUACCACUUCAAGGAAAUUAGGAAGAAAAAAAAAGAGAGAAAAACAACGUGUUGUUCCAGAAGGUAGUAUGCAAGUUCUCAAAUGACCUCUAGGCAUUUUGGUUCAAGGUCCAUCUUUUUCCUUUAUCAUGUCACUCUUCUUUUUUCCUAUUAAAGAAUAAUUUUUAUAUCUUUUUAUGUGACUGGUAAAAAUAAUAUUCCCCUUCUCCAAAAGUCAUGGUCAGUUAGCUAUAUAAAGGUAGUUGGUAAUGAAACUUCAUGUUCUUGUGGUUUUUAAAAUACAGAGUCUCACUCUGUUGCCAAGGCUGGAGUGCAGUAGCAUGAUCAUGGCUCACUGCAGCCUCGACUUCCUGGGCUCAAGUGAUCCUCCUGCCUCAGAGCCUUGAAUAACUGGGACUACAGGUGCACAUCACCACAUCCAACUAAUUUUUAAAAUUUUUUGUGGAGACAGAGUCUCACUCUGUUGCCCGGGCUGGUCUUGAACUCCUGAGCUCAAGUGAUUCUCCCAUCUCAGCCUCCCAAAGUGCUGGGAUUACAGAUGUGAGCCACCAUGCCCAGCCUUGUUUUUUUUGUUUUUUGUUUUUUGUUUUUAAUGUAAGAAAAGGUAAGAAAAAUAUGGUGGUGGUCUUACAGGUACAUAUGUGGUUUAUGCACUGUGAAGCUGUUGAAAGGAGUGGAUGAUGAUGAAAUGCAUGCAGUUGAGCUAGGCUCAGUGGAAAGUCAUGUUGGGGAACAGAUGGAGUUUUGAAGUGCUAAGAGAAUGAUUUAAUGAAACUGGGGUCAUAAAAUUGCUAGAAAGAAUGUAGGCUGAUUUCUUCCAGAAUUUAAAGGCUCUGGGAAUAGGAAGCCAGAAGAGUAAGAACAGAAACAGAUCAGCUUGAACACCAGAGUUGCGCCUUUGGAUGAACUCUGGGGAAAGGGUAUGUUUUCAGAGAAAAAUAAAAAAGGAUCUGGGAUCAUUUACUCUAUCAUUUGUUUAACAAUUAUUAGUGUGUGUGUGUGUGUAUGUGUGUGUAUAUAUAUAUAUUUUUUGAGAUGGAGUCUAGCUCUAUUGCCCAGGCUAGAGUGCAAUGGUGCGAACUCGGCUCACUGCAACCUCUCUCUCCCUCCUAGGUUCAAGAGAUUCUCCUGCCUCAGCCUCCCAAGUAAUUGGAAUUACAGGCCCAUGCCACCCCACCCGGCCAAUUUUUUUUGUAUUUUUAGUAGAGAUGGGGUUUUGCCAUGUUGGCCAGGCUGGUCUCAAACUCCUGACCUCAAGUGAUCCGCCAGCCUCGGCCUCCCAAAGUGCUGGGAUUACAGGCACGAGCCACCAUGCCGGACCUAUUAGUGUAUUUACUGGAUAUCAAGAUGACUAAGAAAUAGCACUUGCCUUGAAGGAGCUUUUCUAUUUGAGGAAAAAGACAUGUAUAUAAAUAACUGCAAACAGAAUGAAACAAGUGUUAUGUAGAUCUACAUACAGUGACAUGCCAUGGGAAUGCUGAACACUGAGCAACAGUUUCAACUAGCGAAUUGGCACAGGAAACAUGAAAAAUAAGCGUAUUUUCAAUAUGACAAGAAUGGUCAUUUCUGGAUAUAAGAACAAGAGAAAAGUCAUGGGUAUAUGGAAAGGCAUGGACUCUUCAAGGAAGAGCAAGUAGUCUAAUGUAGAUGCUGUAUAGGAAUCUGGGGACAAAGGGACAGAUAAGUGGUGUAGACAAAGAGGCUGGAAAUAGGGUUAUGGGCUAGAUCAUGAGUGACCUGUAAGCAUUAGGAGUUUUGAUUUAUUUUGGAAUAAGAAACAUUUAUGGCUUUUGAGAAGGAAAAUUACACAAGGGAAAAGAAAGGAUUUUUAUUUUUUAUUUUUAUUUUUGGAGAGAUGAGAUCUCACUAUGUUGCCCAGGCUGGUCUUGAACUCCUGAACUCAAGCAAUCCUCCCGGCUCGGCCUCUGAAACUUCUAGGAUUAUAGGCGUGAGCCACUACGCCCAGCCAGGAUUAUGUUUUUUUAUGGGAGGGAUGAGAAUAUUGGUAGGUGGGUAGAGGAUAAAUGAGAGAGAAUAUGUAUAUGUGAGAUUGAAUAUAUAAUAGAAAAAAUUGAUAGGACAAGUCCUGCGUUAUUACUACAUUUUAUGAGGAAAAUCUAUAUAUUAGAAGCACUUUAAAGGUAUAUUUGCUAUUCUAGCUGUGGAAACCAUCUGAAAACACAUUUGAAAGUGCUUUGAAACAGGGGUCAACUUCUCUGCAAAGGGCCAGAGUAUGUUUAGCUUUGCGGGCCACAGAUGGCCUCUGUUGCAUAUGCUGCUGGGUCUCCACCUUCCUCCUCCUUUUCUUCCCUUCCUCUUCCUUCUUUUUCUUCUUCUCUUUCUUCUUUCUCUUUAAAAGCAUAAAAUCAUUCUCAGCUCUUGGGCCAUACAGAAACAGGCCAUAGGCCAGAUUUGACUUCUAGGCCAUAGUUUGCCGACCCUCCAUUUUAGAACUUAGCUUUCCUGAAAGAGCAUUUGGGUCUCUCUCUCUCUUUCCCUUUCUCUCUCUCUGUCUCUCUCUCUCUCUCUUUCAGUAAGUGAAGUAAGAAAUAGGUCUUUCUUGAGGAACAAAAAGCUGAAAUAAUUUCAUGCAUUUGAAUAUGACCCUUGACCUGUUUUUGUCCAUCAUCACUCAGAUUUGUGGCUGCAACCACCAACCAAUUUGGUGCCAUAGGAUAUAGCAUAAUUUUUCAGCAACAGUUCAUAAGCUUUUCUUUUUGUUCUUUUUCCUUCUUCCAGUUGUGGUGGUUUAAAAACAUGUCUGCAAAAUCUUUGACACUUCUCAGUAAAAAAUAUAGUCUUGUGUUCCCUUUUCUUGAACCUAAGUGGCCUUUGUGCUGCCUCAACAAAUAGAAUAUGACAGAAAAGACACUAUGUGACUUUUGAGACAGGGUCAUAAGAGGUGAUACAGCUUCCCCAUGCCCCUGCAUUUUAGAGCUCUGGGUUGCCAUGUAAGAAUAGCUACCCUGAAGCUACCAUGCUGAAGAGACCACAGGGAAAUCACAUAGAGUUAGAAAGAGGUGUCUGAAGAAGCCCAGCUGCUCCCAAUCCCAGCUAUUUAAGUCCUCCCAGACCAGGUGCCAUAUAUAUGAGUGAGCAAGCCUUCAGAUGGUUCCAGCACCAGCCACCAUCUAGCUGUAAGCUCAUGAGACCCCUUCAACGAAAACCAUCUAGAUUAGCUUAGUCAAGCCCCAGAACCGUGAAAGACAAUAGACUUGCUAUGGAGGUCGCCACAUGCCUCUUUUUUCUCCCUUUGUGAAUGGGAUUAUUUAUAAUGGUUACCCCAUACCUACUCCACUAUGUAUAUUGGGUAUGAGGGAGAGAUAAUUUGUCUCACUAGCUGACAGAUUUUUCAGACCUCAAGGAAUGCCACGUGAGCUGUACUCACAGGACCACACACAAGUAUCUUUAUCCACACGUGACCUGAUUUCACUGAUAAAGUCCUGGACCUUGAGCCUGAGCCCAAUGUCUUAAUAAAUGAGAAUUUCAGAAGGUCUUGGGAGGGGGUGAGUAUAUUUUGCAUGUGGGAAGGAUGUAAAUAAUAUGUGGCCUGAGAGCAGAUUAUGGUGGUUUGAAAAUGUGUCCACCAAUUCUUUAAUACUACUCUCAACAAGAGGUGGAAUCUGUGUCUCUUCCUUUGGAACAUGAGUGGACCUUUGUGAUUAAAUGCAGCAGAAGGAUGCUGUGUGAACUCUGAGACAGGGUAAUAAGGGGUGAUACAGCUGCCACCUAGUUCUUUCUCAGAACAUGUGCCUUUGGAGCCCUGAGCUGCCAUGGAAGAAAACCACCUACCCUGAAGCCACAACACUGGAAAGACCAUGUGGAAGAACCACAGAGAGAGAGAAGAGGACCAAAUGUGUGAGCCUUCCCAGCCCAGGCUCCAAAUAUGCAAGUAAGCACCAGAUCCCCUUGACUGCUUUCCAGGGUAAGGAUGCAAGACCACUGAGAACUGUGCCGCGCUGGUAAGAAGAGGUGCUGAUGGCAUGCUGUUGCCUCUGCCAGACAGACUCUGUCUUUGCUGAAGUGUUUAGUAUUGCUAUUGUGGCAAAUGCCAUUUUAGUCAAAGGCAAUAAAUCUUCCUUUGUUUAAAUGACAGAUGGCUAGGAUUGUUACUUCUGUUUCUAGCAAACCCAGAAAGGGAAAAAAUAAAUUACUGACAUUCAGAGUUCUUGUUUUUUAAGAAUAUUAGGGGGAAAAUGAAAAUAGUAUAGUUUCAGCAAAGUUAUAUAGUUUUUGCAGUCAACAGAAUAAUGGGCCCCCUAAUGAUGUUCACGUCCUAACCCCUAGAAUCUAUGAAUAUGUUAGGUUACAGGGCAAAGGGGAAUUAAGAGUGCAGGUGGAAUUAAGAUUAAUUAGCUGACCUUAAGAUAGGGAAUGUAGCAUAAUUUAUCCAGGUGAGCCCAAUAUAAUCACAAUGGAAGACAGAGACAGAAGAAUCAGAGUCAGAGAAGACGUGGCUACAGAGGAGAGAGUGAUGAGAUGUGAGGAUUCUGCCUGCCAUUGCUGGCUUUCAAGAUGAAGGAAGGGGGCCAUGAACCAAGGGGAUGCCUCUAGAAGCUGGAAAAGGUAAGGAAACAGAUUCUCACCUAGACUUCCAGAAAGCUCUGCUGUUGCCUUGAUUUUAGCCUAGUGAGACCCAUUUCAGACUUCCGACCUCCAGUACGUGAAGAUAAUACAUUUGUGUUGUUUUAACCUAUUAAGUUCUAAAAUGGUGAACCCAAUUUCAUUUCUUCUCUCCCUUUACAAGGUAGGUGCUAUUAACAGUGAAAUGACAAUGCAAAAGCAAAGCAGAGGAAAGCACCAGCAAAGGACAUGCCUCGCUGACUGCAGAUUACAGUGUCCUCUACUCAAUUCCUAUCUUAAUAUGUAUCACAUGCCCUGCCUGAGAUAAUGAGGACUCUCCCAUUCCCUCAGUCUUCAGGUUGCCUCUACUUCUCUUCCAUUUUCUUUUUCCUUGAUAUGAUCCUCUUCUUUCUCAUUCUUCUCUUCUUUCAUUUCCUGAGUUGUUUUCUCUCCACUUCUUCCCCCUCUACUCUGAUAGGAAAUAUUAUAGCAGUAGCCCAAGCUAGAAGAAAAAGGACACACCUACCAGCUCCCUCCCUCCCUCACAACACCUACACGGCUGCUGGGGAAGCCUUGAAUGAAAGCUAGAAAAGAACAAAUAGGAAAAGAGGCAUUUGAAAACAGAACAGAAAUAGUCACAGACGGGUGACAGGCAGGAGAUGCCACCUCAUUGACAGCUGCCACCAUUUUCCAUAGAGAAGUUAUUCCAUUGUAGUAUACACCAGGGCUGGGUUUAAAUAUUUUUCCUAUGUACUUGGUAGUAUAGUGGAAGCUCCUCCAUUUCUCUAAAUAGUUAACUGCAUACUUAGAGCUCUUGGUAGCGUUUAGAACACGGAGUUAAUUAUUCUGAGUGUACCUAGCCCCAUCACUGUCUGUAAUCUGUACAAAAUUUGAUAAGCCCUUUUAAGGUAGUUAGAUAUUUAUUGAGACUCUGCUGUAUAUUUGGCAGUGCCCCAGAUAUAGGUAGUGGUGGUGACAGCAAGCAAUAGGACCAGUGGAGCCUGCUUUUUAAUAGAGAGUGAUCUCUCUGGUAUUGUUGUAAGUACAGCAUAUAAGCAACUUGAGGUGUUGUCUUAAAGAUGUGAGCUCACCUAAUUUACACAAGAGCAUCAAAGCCAGAAUUCCUCCCCUUGCUGAUGUUAGCCUGUAACUCUGUGCCUCUCAAGUGUAUAACUUCUUCUGUGGGAAUCAUGCUUCUGAAGCAUGAGGAAAGAACACACCCGUGUUUCCACUUUCUCUGCUGCUUUGCAUGUGAUCCCUCCAGGUAUGCAAAAUAAUGCCUCAAUAUCAUUUUGACCUGUGUUGUCAUUUUACAUAUUUUAUCAGAAGACUUCAUAUCGGAUGGAAGCAAAUCUUUAGAAGGGUUGUUAUAACAACUUGAACAGCCCAUCAUGCUCUAGGCAUGCUCCCUAUCACGGCUAUGUUUUCAUUCAUUAGAGAUGGAGGAGGAGGCGGCUUAAAAUGUGUAAUUCUAAUCACCUAUUCCUACAGCUCUCUAACUGGUCUCCGUGGCUUCUCUUGCCUUCCUCCAGUCUUGCCCGUGAACCUUGAUUAGAGGACAACACAACACUAACAGCCACUCCUCCCUCUCCCUCCUGACUCCUUAUUUGAGUUAGAGGCUCUCGUAACACCUGCGUCUUCCCCUUUGUCAGCAGUCAUCACAACGAAUUGUGAUUGCCUAUUUACUCAUCUGCAUCUCCCACUGAAUUCUGAUCCAUGGUGGCUGGCCCAUGCCUGUCUUGUGUACAUUUGCAUGUAAACCACUUAACCCAAGUGCCAGGAAGCAAACAGUACACGCAGGUGUGUGGAGUGAUUGAAAGCUAAUUUGCUACCUAAGAAUGUACAGUGAUUCCUCAGUGUUUAUUAGAUCAGGCCCAGACUCUUCAUUUCAGUUUUCAACUCCUCUGAUUUUUCUUUUAUACAAGCUUUCAGAUCUCCUCUUGGUUCUCAUCUAGCUCUUGCAUCUUUAUGCCGUGGGUUGAUUCCUCUGCCUGCCUAUCUGUAGUAGCUUGUCUCCUAGGAUGGCUGCCAUCAAUUUCUUCUCUUCUGUAUACACAUGCCACUCCCGCAUUGAGAGAUGGAGUCUUCUUUCCCCCUGGAAUCUGGUCUGGCCUGUGACUAAUUUCAAUAAUAGAAUCUUGCAUUUCUAUUGAAACUACCAAAAAAAAAAAAUUGUGUCAGCUACUACAGCUACUAAGUUUUGGGAUGGUUUGUUAUAUGGCAAUAGAUAUCCUCAAUACCAUUCUUCAAAGUCCCAAACCUACAUUUUCUGUGAAGCCUUACCUUGCUAGUCUAGUUAACACUGAUCUCCUCCUUCUCUGAAGUUCUGUGGGAAUAGAACUUUGUUGAUGCCACACAUUUUGUUAUCCAACUGUAUGUAUUAUUACUUUUCCUUUCCUGAAUGCCAGUAUGAACUCCAUGACCAAAUUAUAUGGUCUUUGAAGAUACCAAAUAGUGGAAAUAGGUCUUUUGUAAUCCCUUCAACAAGUCCUAGUACUGAAUAAAAAUGUAAUGGCUGUUGAAUUGGAUUAAAAGUAAAAAUAUUCUUGGCCAUUUUAGCUCUCUGCCAAUUAUUUUGACUUUUCUUCACAGUAUCUUUGAGCGCAUUCUUUCAUAUCAUGAUUAUAAAAAGCAUGUGUGGCAGCAGGCAGCCCUUAGGAUCCUUCCCCCUGCAGACAGUCUGUGACAGUGCAGUGGUUCUCAAAACGUGGACCAGGAGCAGCAGCACCAGCACCUGGGAACCUGUUAGAAAUGCAAAUGCUUGGGCCUACCCCAAAUCUACUGAAAGAGAAGUCCUGGGGGUGGAGCCCAGCAUUCUGUUUCACCAAGCUUUCCAGAUAAUUCUGAUGCAUAUUAAAGGAUGAGAAUCAUUCUAGUGGUGGAAAGAGUCCUGGUUUAAGGUUAGAAGGUCUAGGAGUUUUUGGUCCUAACACAUUUUGGUCCUGAUGCUUAUGUAUCAAUGAGAAAGUUACUUAACUUCCCUGAGCCUCUCCUUCCUCAUCUGUGUUACGAUAAUCCUAACCCUGAGAUGGGAGAGUGUCUUAGUUCAUUUUUUUUGCUAUGAAGGAAUACCUCAGACUGGGUAACUUAUAAAGAAAAGAGGUUUGUUUUGACUCAUGGUUCUGCAAACUAUACAAGAAGGAUACUGCUGGCAUCUGCUUCUGCAAAGGCAUCAAGAAGUCUACGAUCACAGCGUAAGGCAAAGAGGGAGCAGGUAUGUUACACAGCAGGAGAGGGAGCAAAAAAAAAAUGGACAGGUUCUUUUUUUUUCUUUCUUUUUUUUUUUUUUCUUUUUGCCAGACGGAGUCUCGCUCUGUUGCCCAGGUUGGAGUGCAGUGGUGCAAUCUUGGCUCACUGCAAGCUCCACCUCCCGGGUUCACUCCAUUCUCCUGCCUCAGCCUCCCAAGUAGCUGGGACUACAGGUGCCCGCCACCACGGCCGGCUAGUUUUUUGUAUUUUUAGUAGAGACAGGGUUUCACCAUGUUAGCCAGGAUGGUCUUGAUCUCCUGACCUCGUGAUCUGCCCGCCUCGGCCUCCCAAAGUGCUGGGAUUACAGGCGUGAGCCACUGCGGCCGGCCAAAAACAGACAGGUUCUUAAACAACCAGCUCUCACAUGAACUAAUACAGUGAGAACUCACUUAUUACUGUGGGGAAGGCACCAAGGCAUUCAUGAGGGAUCCACCCUCAUGACCAAAACACUUCCCCCCACCUCCAACAUGGGGGGUCAUAUUUCAACAUGAGAUUUGGAGGUGACAAACAUCCAAACUAUGUCAGAGAGUCAAGUGAAAUCUCUUUUUUUUUUUUUUUUUUUUUUUUGAGAUGGAGUCUCACUCUGUCACCCAGGCUGGAGUGCAGUGGCGGGAUCGCGGCUUAUUGCAAGCUCCGCCUCCCGGGUUCACGCCAUUCUCCUGCCUCAGCCACCUGAGUAGCUGGGACUACAGGCGCCCGUCACCAUGCCCGGCUAAUUUUUUUGUAUUUUUAGUAGAGACGGGGUUUCUCCGUGUUAACCAGGAUGGUCUCAAUCUCCU
rnacentral:lncRNA from 1 species